rnacentral:rRNA from 1 species
UACAGAGGUCUCGAGCGUUAUGCGGAAUCACUGGGCUUAAAGCGUGUGUAGGCGGAUCGGUAAGUACCUUGUGAAAUCCCACAGCUUAACUGUGGAACUGCUUGGUAUACUGCCGGUCUUGAGUCAGCUAGGGGCUACCGGAACAAAUGGUGGAGCGGUGAAAUGCGUAGAUAUCAUUUGGAACGCCAAUGGUGAAAACAGGUAGCUGGGGCUGUGCUGACGCUGAGACACGAAAGCCAGGGGAGCAAACGGG